AUCUUUUUAGUAUAAACAUUAUAAAUGACUUCCAAUCAUUUGAUCUUAGUUAGUUACUAAGAAAAGAUA
rnacentral:tRNA from 1 species